rnacentral:misc_RNA from 1 species
UUUCCGUAGGUGAACCUGCGGAAGGAUCAUUCAUAAUAAAGUGUUUUAUGGCACUUUUUAAAAUUCCAUAUCCACCUUGUGUGCAAUGUUAGAUCUCGUCAAUCUUGGCGAGAUUUUUAUACAUCAACUCAUUCUUUAACUAAUUUGUCUGAAAAAUAUUAUGAAUACUUAAUUCAAAAUACAACUUUCAACAACGGAUCUCUUGGCUCUC